CAGCAGCCGCGGUAAUACGGAGGGAGCUAGCGUUAUUCGGAAUUACUGGGCGUAAAGGGCUCGCAGGCGGUUUCUUAAGUCUGAUGUGAAAGCCCCCGGCUCAACCGGGGAGGGUCAUUGGAAACUGGGAAACUUGAGUGCAGAAGAGGAGAGUGGAAUUCCACGCGUAGCGGUGAAAUGCGUAGAGAUGUGGAGGAACACCCGUGGCGAAGGCGACUCUCUGGUCUGUAACUGACGCUGAGGAGCGAAAGCGUGGGGAGCGAACAGGAUUAGAUACCCCGGUAGUCCCUGUCUCUUAUAC
rnacentral:rRNA from 1 species